CAGCCGCCGCGGGAAUACGAAGGGGGCUAGCGUUGUUCGGAAUUACUGGGCGUAAAGCGUGCGCAGGCGGUUAUAUAAGACAGAUGUGAAAUCCCCGGGCUCAACCUGGGAACUGCAUUUGUGACUGUAUAGCUAGAGUACGGCAGAGGGGGAUGGAAUUCCGCGUGUAGCAGUGAAAUGCGUAGAUAUGCGGAGGAACACCGAUGGCGAAGGCAAUCCCCUGGGCCUGUACUGACGCUCAUGCACGAAAGCGUGGGGAGCAAACAGGAUUAGAUACCCCCGUAGUCCCUGUCUCUUAUAA
rnacentral:rRNA from 1 species